AGUGAACGCUGGCGGCAGGCCUAAUACAUGCAAGUCGAACGGCAGCACAGCAGAGCUUGCUCUGUGGGUGGCGAGUGGCGGACGGGUGAGGAAUACAUGGGAAUCUGCCCAGUCGUGGGGGAUAACGUAGGGAAACUUACGCUAAUACCGCAUGCGCCCUUCGGGGGAAAGCCGGGGACCUUCGGGCCUGGCGCGAUUGGAUGAGCCCAUGUCGGAUUAGCUAGUUGGCGGGGUAAUGGCCCACCAAGGCGACGAUCCGUAGCUGGUCUGAGAGGAUGAUCAGCCACACUGGAACUGAGACACGGUCCAGACUCCUACGGGAGGCAGCAGUAGGGAAUAUUGGACAAUGGGCGCAAGCCUGAUCCAGCCAUGCCGCGUGAGUGAAGAAGGCCCUCGGGUUGUAAAGCUCUUUGUCCGGAAAGAAAGCGCCGGGUUAAUACCCUAGUGUCCUGACGGUACCGGAAGAAUAAGCACCGGCUAACUACGUGCCAGCA
rnacentral:rRNA from 1 species